rnacentral:lncRNA from 1 species
AUGUUCCAAGAACCACUUAGUUGGAGAAGGAAAACUGUGCUGUUCAUUAACAAGUCCGGUGCUUUAUAAUAUAUUUAAAGGUGGUAAGGACGUGAAGAAAACAGGUUUGUAAAUGAUGUUGUACAUCAUGCAGAUAGCUCAGAAGAAGAAAUUGGUGAAAUGGAGAAUGAGACUAA